UACAGAGGUCUCGAGCGUUGUUCGGAUUCAUUGGGCGUAAAGGGUGCGUAGGUGGCUUGGUAAGUCGGAUGUGAAAUCCCGGGGCUCAACCCCGGAACUGCAUUCGAUACUGCCUGAGCUUGAGUCCUGGAGAGGAGAUCGGAAUUUACGGUGUAGCAGUGAAAUGCGUAGAUAUCGUAAGGAAGACCAGUGGCGAAGGCGGAUCUCUGGACAGGAACUGACACUGAGGCACGAAGGCCAGGGGAGCAAACGGG
rnacentral:rRNA from 1 species